AACGCACAUUGCGCCCCCUGGUAUUCCGGGGGGCAUGCCUGUCCGAGCGUCAUUGCUGCCCUCAAGCCCGGCUUGUGUGUUGGGUCGCCGUCCUCCCCUCCCGGGGGGGACGGGCCCGAAAGGCAGCGGCGACUUCGCGUCCGGUCCUCGAGCGUAUGGGGCUUCGUCACUCCGCUCUAGUAGGAACGGCCGAUAGUCUGCCGACUUACCAACCUUUUUUUUCCAGGUUGACCUCGGAUCAGGUAGGGAUACCCGCUGAACUUAA
rnacentral:misc_RNA from 1 species